UACGUAGGGUGCAAGCGUUGUCCGGAAUUAUUGGGCGUAAAGAGCUCGUAGGCGGUUUGUCGCGUCUGCUGUGAAAACUCGGGGCUUAACUCCGGGCCUGCAGUGGGUACGGGCAGACUAGAGUGCGGUAGGGGAGACUGGAAUUCCUGGUGUAGCGGUGAAAUGCGCAGAUAUCAGGAGGAACACCGAAGGCGAAGGCAGGUCUCUGGGCCACUACUGACGCUGAGAAGCGAAAGCAUGGGGAGCGAACAGG
rnacentral:rRNA from 1 species